GAUCCCGCCGGAGGUUACUGCUAUCGAGGUUCGACUAAGCCAUGCGAGUCGAAUGUAGCAAUACAUGGCGUACUGCUCAGUAACACGUGGACAACCUACCCUCAGGUCGGGGAUAAACCCGGGAAACUGGGUAUAAUACCCGAUAGAUCUCGGCUGCUGAAUGCAUCGAGCUCUAAAGCUCCGGCGCCUGAGGAUGGGUCUGCGGCCUAUCAGGUAGUAGUGGGUGUAGCGUACCUACUAGCCUACGACGGGUACGGGUUGUGAGAGCAAGAGCCCGGAGAUGGAUUCUGAGACACGAAUCCAGGCCCUACGGGGUGCAGCAGGCGCGAAAACUUUACAAUGCCGGCAACGGCGAUAAGGGGACCUCGAGUGCCAGGUUACAAAUCUGGCUGUCGUGAUGCCUAAAAAGCAUUGCAUAGCAAGGGCCGGGCAAGACCGGUGCCAGCCGCCGCGGUAACACCGGCGGCUCGAGUGGUAACCGUUAUUAUUGGGUCUAAAGGGUCUGUAGCCGGCCGGAUAAGUCUCUUGGGAAAUCCAGCAGCUUAACUGUUGGGCUUUCAGGAGAUACUGUCUGGCUCGAGGCCGGGAGAGGUGAGAGGUACUUCAGGGGUAGGGGUGAAAUCUUGUAAUCCUUGAAGGACCACCAGUGGCGAAGGCGUCUCACCAGAACGGACCUGACGGCAAGGGACGAAAGCUAGGGGCACGAACCGGAUUAGAUACCCGGGUAGUCCUAGCCGUAAACGAUACUCGCUAGGUGUCGGCCACGGUGCGACCGUUGUCGGUGCCGUAGGGAAGCCGUGAAGCGAGCCACCUGGGAAGUACGGCCGCAAGGCUGAAACUUAAAGGAAUUGGCGGGGGAGCACCACAACGGGUGGAGCUUGCGGUUUAAUUGGAUUCAACGCCGGA
rnacentral:rRNA from 1 species